rnacentral:rRNA from 1 species
UGCAAGUCGAGCGCACCUUCGGGUGAGCGGCGGACGGGUUAGUAACGCGUGGGAACGUACCCUUUUCUAAGGAAUAGCCACUGGAAACGGUGAGUAAUACCUUAUACGCCCUUCGGGGGAAAGAUUUAUCGGAGAAGGAUCGGCCCGCGUUAGAUUAUAUAGUUGGUGGGGUAACGGCCUACCAAGUCUACGAUCUAUAGCUGGUUUUAGAGGAUGAUCAGCAACACUGGGACUGAGACACGGCCCAGACUCCUACGGGAGGCAGCAGUGGGGAAUCUUGGACAAUGGGCGCAAGCCUGAUCCAGCCAUGCCGCGUGAGUGAUGAAGGCCUUAGGGUCGUAAAGCUCUUUCGCUGGGGAUGAUAAUGACAGUACCCAGUAAAGAAACCCCGGCUAACUCCGUGCCAGCAGCCGCGGUAAUACGGAGGGGGUUAGCGUUGUUCGGAAUUACUGGGCGUAAAGCGCGCGUAGGCGGAUUGGAAAGUUGGGGGUGAAAUCCCGGGGCUCAACCUCGGAACUGCCUCCAAAACUAUCAGUCUAGAGUUCGAGAGAGGUGAGUGGAAUUCCGAGUGUAGAGGUGAAAUUCGUAGAUAUUCGGAGGAACACCAGUGGCGAAGGCGGCUCACUGGCUCGAUACUGACGCUGAGGUGCGAAAGUGUGGGGAGCAAACAGGAUUAGAUACCCUGGUAGUCCACACCGUAUACGAUGAAUGCCAGUCGUCAGCAAGCAUGCUUGUUGGUGACACACCUCAC